rnacentral:rRNA from 1 species
GAUGAACGCUGGCGGCGUGCCUAAUACAUGCAAGUCGAGCGAACGGACGAGAAGCUUGCUUUUCUGAUGUUAGCGGCGGACGGGUGAGUAACACGUGGAUAACCUACCUAUAAGACUGGGAUAACUUCGGGAAACCGGAGCUAAUACCGGAUAAUAUUUUGAACCGCAUGGUUCAAAAGUGAAAGACGGUCUUGCUGUCACUUAUAGAUGGAUCCGCGCUGCAUUAGCUAGUUGGUAAGGUAACGGCUUACCAAGGCAACGAUGCAUAGCCGACCUGAGAGGGUGAUCGGCCACACUGGAACUGCGACACGGUCCAGACUCCUACGGGAGGCAGCAGUAGGGAAUCUUCCGCAAUGGGCGAAAGCCUGACGGAGCAACGCCGCGUGAGUAAUAAAGGUCUUCGGAUCGUAAAACUCUGUUAUUAGGGAAGAACAUAUGUGUAAGUAACUGUGCACAUCUUGACGGUACCUAAUCAGAAAGCCACGGCUAACUAC